GUGCUCACUUUCACAGCUCAUAUACUAAAACUGGAUGAUACAGAGACGAUUAGAAUGGUCCUUGUGCGAAGAUGAUGUGUACAUUUGUGAAGCAGUCUAUGUUAGA
ensembl:snRNA U6 U6 spliceosomal RNA